rnacentral:rRNA from 1 species
GAAAAAGAUAUUAAGGGCCAUAGGUGGAUGCCUUGGCUGGUAGAGGCGAUGAAGGACGUAUUAGGCUGCGAUAAGCCUCGGGGAGCUGCCAAAGAGCUUUGAUCCGGGGAUUUCCGAAUGGGGCAACCCAACAUAUCGAGAGGUAUGUUACCCUACGGGGGGCGAACUCAGGGAAGUGAAACAUCUCAGUACCUGAAGGAAUAUAAAUCAAACGAGAUUCCCAAAGUAGCGGCGAGCGAAAUGGGAUUAGGACAAACCGAUUGCUUGCAAUCGGGGUUGCGGACUGCAUACGGCAUUGCGAGUCGAUAGAAGAAUGAGUUGGAAAGCUCGACCAUAGAGGGUGAUAGUCCCGUACUUGAAAUUGACAGACAGCUAGCAGGAUCCAGAGUAGGUCGGGACACGUGUUAUCUUGACUGAAGCCGGGGGGACCACCCUCCAAUCCUAAAUACUACUACCAGACCGAUAGCGAACUAGUACCGUAAGGGAAAGGUGAAAAGAACUGCGGUGAGCAGAGUGAAAUAGAACCUGAAACCUAUGGCUUACAAUCAUUCGGAGCCCUAUUCUUUAUGAAGGGUGACGGACUGCCUUUUGCAUAAUGAGCCUGCGAGUUGUGGUGUCUGGCAAGGUUAACCUCACGGGAAGCCGUAGCGAAAGCGAGUCUUAAUAGGGCGAAUUAGUCAGAUGCUGCAGACCCGAAACUAAGUGAUCUAUCCAUGAGCAGGUUGAAGCUGGUGUAAGAGCCAGUGGAGGACCGAACCGGUGGGUGUUGAAAAACCCUCGGAUGACUUGUGGAUAGGGGUGAAAGGCCAAUCAAACUUAGUGAUAGCUGGUUCUCUCCGAAAUAUAUUUAGGUAUAGCCUCGAGUCGUAACAUGAAGGGGUAGAGCACUGACAGGGCUAGGGCUGCUUACCGCGGUACCAAACCCUUUCAAACUCCGAAUACUUCAUGCGUAAUCUCGGGAGUCAGGCGGUGGGUGAUAAAAUCAAUCGUCAAGAGGGGAACAACCCAGACUAACAGCUAAGGUCCCAAAGUCGUAUCUGAGUGGAAAAAGAUGUGGAGUUGCUGAGACAAUCAGGAAGUUGGCUUAGAAGCAGCCAUCCUUUAAAGAAAGCGUAACAGCUCACUGAUCUAGCGAUUCUGCGCUGAAAAUAUAACGGGGCUAAGAUACGCACCGAAGCUUUAGAUUCGUAUUUAUACGAGUGGUAGGAGAGCGUUCCAAACAGCGUUGAAGGUAUACCGGUGAGGAGUGCUGGAGCGUUUGGAAGUGAGCAUGCAGGCAUGAGUAGCGAUAAAAGCAGUGAGAAUCUGCUUCGCCGUAAACCCAAGGUUUCCUACGCGAUGCUCGUCAUCGUAGGGUUAGUCGGGACCUAAGUCGAGUCCGAAAGGGGUAGACGAUGGCAAGUUGGUUAAUAUUCCAACACCGACAAUUGUUCGUUUGAGUGAUGGGGGGACGCAUAGGGCUAAUCGAGCUCACUGAUGGAAUAGUGGGUCGAAGGACGUAGGCUGAAACAUAGGCAAAUCCGUGUUUCAUUAGGCCGAGAUCUUACAGGCCGAGCAAAAUCUUCGGAUUGCGCUUGGAAUCGAUGAUGCCGUCGUGCCAAGAAAAGCCUCUAAACGAGAACAAUUGUCGCCCGUACCGUAAACCGACACAGGUGGGUGAGAUGAGUAUUCUAAGGCGCGUGGAAGAACCCUGGUUAAGGAACUCUGCAAACUAGCACCGUAUCUUCGGUAUAAGGUGUGCCCUAAGUAUGUGAAGGAGCUAGCCUCUGGAGCAGAACCGGGUCGCAGCAAAGUGUCCCUCCCGACUGUUUACCAAAAACACAGCACUCUGCUAACUCGUAAGAGGAUGUAUAGGGUGUGACGCCUGCCCGGUGCUCGAAUGUUAAAAGGAUGUGUCAGCGCAAGCGAAGCAUUGAAUUGAAGCACGAGUAAACGGCGGCCGUAACUAUAACGGUCCUAAGGUAGCGAAAUUCCUUGUCGGUUAAAUACCGACCUGCAUGAAUGGCGUAACGAGAUGGGAG